GUUUGCUCCUACGAAGAUCUGGCGCCGAUGGCACCGAAAGAUCAACGUGAAUCAAAAGAGGUAUGCUGUUGUUUCUGCCAUUGCUGCUUCUGCAAUUCCUUCUUUGGUUUUGGCUCGUGGCCACCGGAUCGAGUCUGUUCCGGAAUUGCCGCUUGUGAUUAGCGAUUCCGCUGAGGGAAUCGAGAAAACAUCCUCCGCGAUUAAGGUUUUGAAGCAGAUCGGUGCUUUGCCUGAUGCUGAGAAAGCGAAGGACAGUCAUGCCAUCCGCCCUGGUAAGGGUAAGAUGAGGAAC
rnacentral:misc_RNA from 1 species